rnacentral:lncRNA from 1 species
AAAAAAUAGGUGAUACACAUAGUUAUUAUGAAUCAUAAUUGUCACUCCUCGAGAAGAGUGUUCCUAUAACCACUAAUACCUACUGAAUCAGCUGAUACUCAGUAACUGCAACUAAAACUGAUCAUAGUAAUCUCGCAGGCACAUUGCGCUGAACACCCAUAAUAGUAAAACAUCUACUUCUAUCUUAAGAAUCCAAACAGCUAAUUAGCCCAAAUAGAAGCCUAGGCACAAAGGCAUUGAUAGCAUAGCGAUUUCAUCGAUCAACAACCAAGUAUCUAUCUCAGUAAACCACUCAUGAACAUCAAAAGCAAGUUCAGUGAGAAGGAAAUCGAAGCUCGAACCUUCUACGGAUCGUCUCGCGCCAGAAACCGCCGCGUCCGCCGAUCCAGCGGGCGUCUUCGCGGCGGCGGAGUACCUGUAGGCGUCGGUGGGCUUCGAGUAGCGCGCGUACAAUUGAUCGGCCCCGAGGUCGUAGGAGGAGUACAUGGCCGUGUCCGCCGCGGCGGCGGCGGCGGCUGCGGCCGCGGAGAAGGGGUCGGCGCUCGCGAGCCUUGAGGAGACGGCGUCCGGGAGGUAGGGAUUGGCGGCGGAGCGAAUGGAGUAGAGGGAGGAGGCGGCGCUUCCGUCGUAGGAGGAGGAGCCGUAGUUGUAGAACUGGUUCGACAUGGACGAGGAGGAUAAAGCUCGGCUAGGGUUAGGGUUUGGAAGUUGGAUGGGGGAGGGAAACGCGUGCCCCGCCCGAUGCGGGAGAAGAGAAAGGACAAACGCGAUUUGAGUGGUGGUAUAUUUCCUAAGGUUUAAAAGCAUUAUAAGGCCUCGGCCCAAAAUUGGGCUCGGCCUAGUCGCGCCACAAUACCAGGCCUGCUUUCCAGGCCCAUGUACGUGUUUUGAAGUCGGCGGUUGAAGCUGUUUCGCCGCCGAAACCGUGUUCCUAACGUGAAUUCGGCGGCGUCGGGGUUCUCGUCGCCGACUUUUGGAGUCCUUUUUCAUUUUAGGUGUCCAUUACUGUAGAAGGAAUUAGGGCGUGUUUGUUUCGCCGUGCUAGUCUCACUUCGUCGAUCCACAUAAACGGGCAUUUCAAGGCAACUGGCGAGUAACAAUCCGAGGCAAGAAAAGGUUGCGAGCACCAACCUCGACUUUGUGUACGCCACGAGAUUGCAACGUCGUCCCCUACAAACUACCUAGGCUAAGUGAAGAUGCUCGAAACGUCCGGCCUCUUGCGACCCCAGUUUGUGUAUCUAUUUGACUAUAUAUUCGCACUAGACACAUUCAGAAACAUAUUCAUGCAUGUAUAUACCUGCACAUCUAGUCUAGAAUAUAGAUAGUAAAAUUGUAGGUGUGUAUAUAACUUCUAUGAAUUACAGGCCACAGUGAUUUGGCCGUUCAAUCUUUCAAAAUUUUAAUUUUAUUAUACAAUUUUUUAAGUUUUUAUGUGAGUUAGUCAAAGGCAUUUUGAUUUUAAAAUUUGAUAUCAGUUAUCUUUAAAUGUUUAGUUAGUAUAUUUUAUGUGAUUUUAGUAAUUAUAAAUUUAUUAAAAUAAUCAGUUUGAAUUUUGAAGAUAAGGCGUUGUCGGCUGAUUCAAAUCUAACAAAUAAAAAGAUUAUAUAGUAAAAUUAAAAUUUGAAAAUUUUUGAAUAAUCAAUUGACAAGUCACAUAUGAUUUUUCCCAAUAUAUUAAACCCCCUCAACCACAAGGCAACUUUGAAAAAUAGCAUCUCAUCUUAACUUUUGCAACUUUCUUAAAAGUAAUUCUAUACAACUAAAGUAAAUAGUUUAUCAAAUUUGAUAAAUCCGCUGAAAUUUUAUAGAAUAAUUUGUUUUUAUUAAAGGUGAGAGAUCCAAAAUUCCACGACUAUUUUUUUUAAUUAUUUGCAAAAUAAUAAUAAAUCUCGUUGCAAAUUUUGCCCCACCACGUAUUUACUGCGGCCCAAUAUCUUGUGGCUCACGAAUCACGGCCCGCCUACAAUAAAACCCGCUAUGCGCGCUUUGCUGCUCCAACACACGAACCAACCCGACCCGACUCGAUCCGACCCGACCCGACCCGACCCGAAAGCGAGCACUAGAUAUUUCUCUUCCUGUAAAUCUCAUCCUAGUUCCCAAACAUUUGAAAUGUUUCUAUUUAGUUCUCAAGUUUUCUAGCUUGACGUGCACUUUCGCUUUAUUAUCAACGAAAAAGGGUGUUUUCUUCGUACAUCUUUGUUUUUAUAUGCCUUGUUGUUAUUCUUUGUGUCACUUUAUUUUAUCAUCGAGUUUAAGUAUUAUUUUUUAAAUUAUGAAAUUGAAUUGUUGAAUUAAGAAUAGGAAAAGGAUAAAAAAGUCAUACUAUAUAGAUGCAUUAAUUACACACAAUAAUAUUUUUUAUUUUGAUGUAUAAAUUACUUGAGGCAAAUUAUUAGCAGUUUUUGUUAUGUGUAGUUAAGAAGUGUGAUGAAAAAAUUUGUUUAAUUUGUACAUAAUAACGGAAUGUAGCAAACGAGCUCCGUUGUUAUCUAUUUAUUUUCUAUGAUAAAGCUUUCAAAUCGACAAUUGUCACUGUUGAGUAAGAUCUAUAUCGGCUGAAAUAUUUAGAAACCAAAUUUUAUAUUUUAAUAUUUUUUUCUUAUCCAUUAAGUAGAUAUAAAAAUGAACAAUUAAAAAUAAAUGUCCUUUAAAAGGUGACUAUAGAAAUAUUGUAAUCAAUAUCAAGAGUAUAGAUCUUAUUUUAAAUGGUUUAAAAAAUUUUCUAACCAAAAUUCAAUUUAUUUAGAUAUUUUUUUACCGUUAAAUUAAAAAAUGUUUCAUAUUAACUAUUAAAAUUAUAAAUUUUGAAAUUAUUUGAUCAUUAAAUCUAUGAUAUCGAAACGAUUUAAAAUUUAAUUUUUAAAUAUUUCAAAGUGAUAUAAAUCAUGGAGUUCAGUUAUGGUGCUUGUAAAAGCACCAAGAACUUGGUGCUUGUAAAUUUUUUACCGUUAGAUUUAUUUUUCGAAUCAUUUUCAACCAUUAAAUUAUACUAUUCAACCAACCACCCACUCAACCCUAAGGGGCCCACAUCAUCCUAAUCAUAUAUUUCUUAAUUCAAUAACUAAAAAUCUACAAGUAUCAAUAACUUGGUACUUUGAAAAGUAUAGGAGCUCAAUUCUAAAUUAUGUUCAACACUGCCGAUCGUCAAUUUGAUAGCUUUAUAAUAAAAAAUAAAUGGGUGAUAAUGAAAUCCGUUUUCUACAUAUAGCAUUGCAUUGGAGCUCAACUCCAUAAUCAUGUCUCUCAAAUUAUACUAACUUAGUUAAGCUAUGCGGUGAUUUAUUUUAGAAGCUGUUGAGGAUCGGAGGGACAUUAGAUAAAAGUUGAGGGACAAGGGUGCAAAUUUACCUUCCUCCUUCGGACUACGGAAGGAGUGAGGUGGACGCGCGACGAGCUCAUGGAGGCAACGCCUCUGCCUCUUUCCCACACGCAACUCCCUCGCGCUUCCCCGCUUCUCUCCUCACUAUACAAGCGGGUUCCCUCUCUCCACCUCUCACUCUCCUACUCUCUCACCUCCCUCCCCCUCCUCCUCCUCCUCCUCCUCUUCGACCAAAACCCUAAUCCGAUCCCCCCACCCCUCCCAUGGCCCUCUGCGGGAUCGCCUUCUACCCCGCACCCCGCUGGAUCGCGGCCCCCACUACGCCCUCGUCGCCGCGGUUCCCGAUCCCGGCGCCGGAUCCGAGGGGGCGACCGAGGGCGAGGUGCUCCUUGAGGAGGGCUCCGAAGCGCGCCGCGGCGGCGGCGGCGGAGAAGGAGGCGUCGGCGGUGGUGGCGGAGGAGGAGGAGGAGGAGGAGGCGGGGCCGGUGCUCAGGUUUAGGGCUUCGGAUUUCGCCGUCUCCGAUCACGUCAGCGUCGGGCUUCAAGGAAGGGUGCGCUCGAAUUUUUUUGGGUUUGAGAAGUAGUUUCCACUUCUUCGUGAUUCGAUGUUAUACGUAAAUGCCGGUUUAUUAAGUAGUUUUGAAUCUGUACAUGCGUGUGUAGUCGGACGAGGUGAUCUUUGAGGCGACGGUUUGUGAUCCCAAGAGGUGAGUUAGGGUUCCAGUAACAUAAGCAGGAAGCUCGUUAGUAGUUGAUUGUUUGAGUUUGAAAUUGAGUUAGAAUUUUGACUUGGCGUGGUUGCUUAAUUCCACAGCCCAUUGUACAAUUCGAGGGUGGUUCUGCGGAAACUCACAAGCAUCCAAGCUAAGCGUAGAGGCCGCCGUGCUUUGCAGGUGCAUUGGAUGGAAUCAACUCACCGAUACUUGAUUUUGCUUUUGUUCAUGAUCUUAUGGAAAAUUGUACUGGCAAAUUAUUGUGUUUGGUUUAAUUUCAGGUGUUAAAGAAGCUUGCUCGGCGUCAGCUCAUGUACCACUCGUAUUCCAUGCAAGUACAUGGAUACAUGUUCGAUGGCGAAUCUGGGAACGAAGGCCUGUUUACAUUGGUGCAUGGCGUGAGUGGUUACAAUUGCUUUGAUGCUUUCUUGGGGCAUUCAUAACUAGAUUGUGUAAAUUGAUUUAUAGAAAAUGUUCAUUUGCCAAGUGGUGAGUGAAAAUUGCAUCGGCUAGACAAAGAACGUUGUAACUGGAACUAUCUGAGAAUUUUUCCUUUUUUUCUACCUUCAGUAUCAUGGAAGUUAUUCACUGAGGCACUGGCUUCAGCUCUCUGAUUGGCUACCAACAUUAGAAGCAACACUGGCAUUGGAUGAAGAAUAUGUUAGAAGGGUGGGGGAUGACACCAUUGGAGGGCCUGCUGUCACCCGACAGUUGCGUCUCACCAGGAUUCUGAUGAGAGAUCUUUUGAUUGGUGUAAGCAUCUUCUUGGAACAAUUUACAGCAGUUGUUAAAAUUCUUUUGGAACGUUACCUCCCACCUUUUUGUUGUUUUUUGUUUUUAAUCUAAUUUACUGGUAUCUAAGAAGCACUGUUGGAUUUGCAGGUCAAUUACUUGCAUAGCCAUGGACUGGCCCAUACAGAGUUGAGGCUGGAGAAUGUACAUAUAAGCCCAAUUGACAAACAUGUCAAGGUAGUUAAAUGUCUUUCAAUUAAUUUUAAGAUGUCUGGGUUUGUGACUCUCUUUGCUUGACCUGCAUGGACUGUCCUUUUAAAAUGACAAAAUGUUUUCUUUUUGUGUCAAAUCAAACUUUGUAUCAAGUAUGAAUGGUGCCUGUAGCGAUUUUUUACUUUGAGAUGUUAUUACUUCUUAUGUUAGUAUUAACUGGGAAAUAGGAUAUAUACAUUAUCUUAAGAUUAUCUUAUGAAUGUAAUAAGCGACUCUUCUGGAAUACAUACCUUAUUUUUUUAAUUGAUUUAAAUGAAAGAGAUCUAAUUCACAUGAGCUGCAUUAGAUAGCUGGCCGUGUAUUACUUCUAUUGCAGUUUAAGGUCCAUUUUUUAAAUACAUGUUCCCUUCUUUUGCGGGAGAACAAUUUUGAAGUUCUCACUCAGGCAAAAAAGUGAUGCAUCUACUAGUAAGUGUUUUUAUUUCUUUGUGCAUAAGCAAAUUGAUUACAUCAUCUAUUGAUCUUAACCUUUUAUACAUUGUCAUACUAUUGAGUUAAAAAGAAGGGUUAUCAUGGUCUACCAUUGACCACCUCUUCUUAAUAUUGAUCGUAGGUUUGUCAAGAUUUUUACUUAAUGGAAAUGAAGUGAGGGUAAGUUUGAGGUAUGCAACUGCUACGGCCAUGCAUGUAGAGGAACUUUGAUACAUGCAAUGUGUGCUCGUGCACAUGAGGCUUGUAUUGGCAACAGAAAAUGGGUACAAAGUAGAAAAAUUGACGCCUUACUAUACGUUCUGUAGAGACGGAGCUUUUUGAAUUGAACAAUCUCAUCGCGUACUCUAUCAGACUUCAAAUCUUUUUACCUAAGCUGGUUUAGUCUUUCUGUUUCUUAGGUUGGAAUUCUUGGAAAUGCUGUGGAUUUCUAUGAAAACACUCCAAGUGGCAAUCUAGUAGAUGGUAACACUGACAGGAGAAAAAUGAUGAUUGCAUUUGACAUGAGGUAAGAUAGAGAACAAGCCAUACAUCAUAAUCAUUAUUCUUAUUAUCAUUAUUGUUUUCAUGAGUGUCUUUUUGAUCUAAGAUUUCCCUUAUCAAAAUGGUUUUCCUGCAUGGGGCAAGUCAGCUAGAGAGCCCAGACACAUUAGAAUGAAAGUUAUGAAACUUACCAAAUUAGUUUGCUUUGCCACUUUGUAAUAAAAAUUCUAUAUUCUGUACAGAUGUGUUGGUUUCAUCAUGGCAAAAUUGAUCCUAAAGGAGCUCAUGAAUCCUUCAAUCUUCCUGAAGUUCCAGUCUUUUUUGACUAAGGUUAACCCUUUUUUCAUUUGAAGUCUUUUUACCCGCACAUGGGUGAUGAAUUAAGCUAUUUAUUAUUGGUACUUUUCCAAUUCUGUGCUACUACUACUGUGCUCCGAAGCUUUUAAUGCCAAUGCUGUUAUUAAAUUUGUUGUGUUAUAUUCAAUGCCUAUUAAACUGCUUUAUGGGAGAGUGAAGAUGCUUCUGAACAUGCAGGGAAACGAUCCAUCAUGCUUGCGCGAGUUCCUCCUUCCAAUAUUAUGCCGAAAUUCUCCUUCUGGGAAUGCUGGUUUGCAAGUAAUUGUCCAUUUGGUCCAUUCUUUUCCUCAACUUAUUUACUAGCGAAGUGCAUAACCAAAACAACAUAUUCUUCCUUUUCUGACUAUUACUAUUUUUGUGCCCGUUUCAGAUGCUGGAUAGGAACUGGGGUGCGGGUUGGAAUCUUUUGUCUUUGCUUUUGGCAACAAAGCCAUCUGAGCGGAUUAGGUGGGAGUGCGGCACAUCUUUCAUGACUGUCUUGACAAUUACCAAGGAAUUUUUUUGAAAAACUAUUGCUAGUUUAAUCAUACUAUGUUGCUGGUUUUCACUGAUAAUAUUUUAAAACUGGGCAAUGCUGUUCAUCUUUUGAGAGAAAGUUGACAUGCAUAUUAUGCUUUUGACUUCUCAUUCCUUUUGAGCUGCUCAUAUCCUAGUCCAGUAGCUCAAUAAAUUGUAAGUAUGUGCCGCUUGAACUCCUCAUUUCAUUGUUCUUUUCUUAGCCACCCUGAUUCUCAUGUUUCUGCUUGCAGUUGUCUGGAUGCAUUGAGGCACCCAUUUCUAUGUGGACCUAGAUGGCGUGUAAGUCCAUCGAUGGAUGUCAUUAGGUGGGGUUUAGGUUCUACUGCAGUCCGUAUGGCAGAAGAUUAUAUCUAUGGACGGCAUCAGGUAUAUGAACUUUUGUCUUAAUUUAAUCCUGCUAAAACUGUUAAGAUACAAAUUGACAGCCAUGAGGUGCUUUGUUUCUCUCAAACAUGAAAAACUCUGUUAUUUAAUCAUGAGGCAUGGCUAAAGAAAGAAAGAGAAUAAAAAUGCAAGCCUUGCAUAUAUGAGUUUUUCAAAUUUGCAUUAAAUCGUAGCUGUUACGGUCCCAUCUUUUUAUGCUAAGAGGUGUUCUCAUCUGUGCAGCGUAACAGAAUUGCUCACUUCAUCGAACUAAUUGAGUUGCUGAACCCCCGUCCAAGACCAAAGGUAAACAUAUCAAUCUAAACACACUUAUUUUACUCCUUUGGAUCGAAAAGUACGUAGAAGGCAUGUGUAAAUUUGUUAUUUCUAAAUGUUAUCAGUAAUUUCCAUCUCGGCUACUUCGGAUAGUUAACUCGCGAGGAAAUGUGACAAUUCUCGAUUGUCAUUAACUCUGUGUUUUCAUGCCCUAAGAUAUUAUUUUGGUAAAGACUGUAUCCUGAUUAGGUACUUUCCUCACUAUUUUCUGUUUGUUUUGAUGCAUUUAGAGCUGGCUUGACCUUCUGCCUGGUCGAUGGCGCCUUUUGUACAGCACCGGAAGGCACAUAGGACUAACACUUCGUGAACCUUCUCCAAGAGUCCUCAUCAGCAAUGCAUACCUAAAUUUCGUGCCAAGUCCUCAUUCGAACCACCCCGUCUUUUCUCUCUCAUCAGACAUCAGUUUUAAGGUCAUGCCGACGCCUAACUGGCCCCACGACAAGUCUGGAGCUCCCGGAUCUCUCCACGUAAAAUCUUCCGUCAGCAUAACUCCCGGGAGGCUUUAUUUCACGGAAGAAGAAGGUGAAUCGAAAGAGCUGAGUUUCCAAAAUCAUUCUAUUCGUAAGUUGCCACGCAGUAAGUGGAAGGCGACAAAAUUGAAGGAGCUUCCCUCGAGUCUACCCGCCGUAAAACUCAUCGCGGACGGUAUAGAUAUAUCGCUUAGUUACGAGUCGUCUUCAUUAAGUGUCGAUGCGGCGAAAAAUGUGCUCCAAGAGGUUAGAACACAGAUUCCACCUGAGAUGUUCGACGUGUCCAGGCUCGUGUGUGGGUCCUAUGUGGACGCGAGGAUGAUGGUUCUUCGCGGGGCGAAUGGAUCGGCUUUGCUGUUCAUCAGAUCAUGUUCUAAUAGCUAAUUGUUGUUAAGAAAAUUUGAUUCAGAGUUUUAAGUUGUUGCCCCCUUCUCUCCUCUUUCUGCAAGAAGGUUAUUGCUUCUUGCUCCUGUAAAUUGUAUAGUAGUCCGUGCCAUUUUAAAAAUUUAGUUUGUUUGGACUUCUACCCAUGCAGUGUUUGGUUAGAGGAUAGGUAUAGGGAUAACCCCUUAUCCCCUCUUUAUAUCCAAACGUUAAUUUUUUAUCCGAGAAUAGUAGUUCUCGGUUACCUAUGAUAACCGGGUAUAAUUAUUUUCACCAAUAUCUUCGUUUUUUAUAUAAAAUUAUCCAUUAUUUUUUUUAUUCCAUAUUAUCUAUCCAAACGCUAUUUUUCUUAUUUCCGGGAACAAUCCAAUUUUCAUCCAAAAGUUAUUUUUCUUAUCUCUAUAUUUGUACCUAUUUCUGUAAUAACUAGUUUUUGCUUAUACCUGAACCAAACGCUACCUUUGGGUAUAAAUUUUAUAGAUUCGUAACUAGAUA